ACAGAAGGCCGCCAGAGAAAAGGAGGUUAAUAAAGUCCUCAAUACGAAGCUGGAGGAGGCCCUGCAGCUCAUUGAGGUGCUGCAGGCCACGGGGUCCUUUGAACAGGAUGGUGGUGAUGGAGGAGACGAUCUGUCCAAUCAGCCUGUUGAGGUUGGCGUAGGUUGGGCGUAGUUGUUGGCUGCGUCCUCCUUACCAGUGAUCAGCUGCUCGGGGUGGAAGAGCUGGCGGCAGGUUCCUUAAAUGAUGAUGAUGAGGAGGUGAAGGCCCUUCGGCGAGAGGGACAAUUGUUUAUUUAUUCAAUCCUGGAUGAAGCCCUCCCGCGCCGGGACCUCAACUCCCACGGCGUCCGGGUCUUGUGGCGCUGCUUGGACUUCCUGGUGCGACAGGUGAGGCUGCGGCGUGUUUUCCAACAGAAGGCCGCCAGAGAAAAGGAGGUUAAUAAAGUCCUCAAUACGAAGCUGGAGGAGGCCCUGCAGCUCAUUGAGGUGCUGCAGGCCACGGGGUCCUUUGAACAGGAUGGUGGUGAUGGAGGAGACGAUCUGUCCAAUCAGCCUGUUGAGGUUGGCGUAGGUUGGGCGUAGUUGUUGGCUGCGUCCUCCUUACCAGUGAUCAGCUGCUCGGGGUGGAAGAGCUGGCGGCAGGUUCCUUAAAUGAUGAUGAUGAGGAGGUGAAGGCCCUUCGGCGAGAGGGACAAUUGUUUAUUUAUUCAAUCCUGGAUGAAGCCCUCCCGCGCCGGGACCUCAACUCCCACGGCGUCCGGGUCUUGUGGCGCUGCUUGGACUUCCUGGUGCGACAGGUGAGGCUGCGGCGUGUUUUCCAACAGAAGGCCGCCAGAGAAAAGGAGGUUAAUAAAGUCCUCAAUACGAAGCUGGAGGAGGCCCUGCAGCUCAUUGAGGUGCUGCAGGCCACGGGGUCCUUUGAACAGGAUGAGCAAACACAGACGUCCACGCAGACGGAGGAGAUGGAAUAGUUUUUUUUAAAUAGUUCAAUAUUGUUUGUUACUUGUUAAUUUUUUAAUAAAAGUUGUUAUGUUCAUUUGU